rnacentral:rRNA from 1 species
GGGCCCGCACAAGCGGUGGAGCAUGUGGUUUAAUUCGAUGAUACGCGAGGAACCUUACCAGGGCUUAAAUGUAAGUUGCAUAAGCUAGAGAUAGCUUUUUCUUCGGACUACUUACAAGGUGCUGCAUGGUUGUCGUCAGCUCGUGCCGUGAGGUGUCAGGUUAAGUCCUAUAACGAGCGCAACCCCUGUUGUUAGUUGCCAUCGAGUAAUGUCGGGAACUCUAACAAGACUGCCGGUGCAAACCGCGAGGAAGGUGGGGAUGACGUCAAAUCAUCACGGCCCUUACGUCCUGGGCUACACACGUGCUACAAUGGCCGGUACAGAGAGCAGCCACUACGCGAGUAGGAGCGAAUCUAUAAAACCUAUCUCAGUUCGGAUCGGAGUCUGCAACUCGACUCCGUGAAGCUGGAAUC